AGGAUGAACGCUGGCGGCGUGCCUAACACAUGCAAGUCGAGCGAUUUACUUCGGUAAAGAGCGGCGGACGGGUGAGUAACGCGUGGGUAACCUGCCCUGUACACACGGAUAACAUACCGAAAGGUAUGCUAAUACGAGAUAAUAUACUUUUAUCGCAUGGUAGAAGUAUCAAAGCUUUUGCGGUACAGGAUGGACCCGCGUCUGAUUAGCUAGUUGGUAAGGUAACGGCUUACCAAGGCGACGAUCAGUAGCCGACCUGAGAGGGUGAUCGGCCACAUUGGAACUGAGACACGGUCCAAACUCCUACGGGAGGCAGCAGUGGGGAAUAUUGCACAAUGGGCGAAAGCCUGAUGCAGCAACGCCGCGUGAGCGAUGAAGGCCUUCGGGUCGUAAAGCUCUGUCCUCAAGGAAGAUAAUGACGGUACUUGAGGAGGAACGCCCGGCUAACUACGCGCCAGCAGCCGCGGUA
rnacentral:rRNA from 1 species